GAUUGACCUCGGAUCAGGUAGGGAUA
rnacentral:rRNA from 2 species